rnacentral:rRNA from 1 species
GAGUUUGAUCUUGGCUCAGAGCGAACGUUAGCGGCGGGCCUAACACAUGCAAGUCGAACGAGAAUGAGGGGGCAACUCCUCUAGUAAAGUGGCGGACGGGUGCGUAACACGUUGGUAAUCUACCUUCCGGCGGGGGACAACAGUCCGAAAGGAUUGCUAAUACCGCAUACGUCGGCGAGAUCUCCGGAUCUUGCCGGGAAAGAUGGCCUCUCCUUGGAAGCUGUCACCGGAAGAUGAACCUGCGGCCCAUCAGCUUGUUGGUGAGGUAACGGCUCACCAAGGCUAAGACGGGUAGCUGGUCUGAGAGGAUGAUCAGCCACACUGGGACUGCGACACGGCCCAGACUCCUACGGGAGGCAGCAGUGGGGAAUAUUGGGCAAUGGGCGAAAGCCUGACCCAGCCACGCCGCGUGAGUGAUGAAGGCCUUCGGUCGUAAGCUCUGUGGGAGGGACGGAA